GGAUGGGUGGCAGAGUGGUCGAAUGCGCUCGCUUGGAAAGCGUGUGUGCCUUUAUCGGCACCGAGGGUUCGAAUCCCUCCCCAUCCA
rnacentral:tRNA from 1 species